UUUUAAGUUGCUCUAACUUUAGCCAGGCUGAUGAUGAUAAUACAAGGAAUAGUCUCUUUCUCUUUUUUACAUAGACUUUAAAACUUGUAAUACUGUUUGCUAUCAGAGGCUUUCACACACAUUGCAGCUUGCUGCCUGAUGGUUUUAAUGUUCUACUUUAAUUCAAGUGAGCUGUGAUUGUUUAUACCAGUUUUUUAAAUGCCAUUCCUGAGAUGUGCUUGUACUUCAUGAUGCUUUAAGCACUAAUUCACAAAAUUCCACAGAUAUUUACAAUUUUUGUGGUGGUAUGAAUUAAAGAGCUAUAGCUUGAAAGUUUCUUUGUUGUGCAGCCAACCAGCAGUGAAUGCACUGAGGCCGGCCCGAGCUCCAGGGCACAUGAUCCUUCGCGGGAACAUCUCAAUCAGAGUGCUGACUCCAUCUGCACCACUGAGUUGGUGGAAAUACAUGUGCCACUAAGAAAGCAGUUUGACUAUCUUGAGUUUAGACUUCCUGCUUUCGGGCCGUAUAAGGAAGUUCUCCAGAGGGGCAAACCAGUGGAGGGACCUGUGAGGCGAGCCAUCGUCAACAGAAUUUUUCAAGCUUGCUUCAAAAUAGUAUGGUUUCCUUCGAAGGAGCUGUACAACACAGCAGUGGAACAGCUUAUUCAGAAGUACCCGCACCUACGGGACAACAUCAAAAAAGGGACCGGCAUGGAAUCGUGGAAACUUGCACUAAAAAACAAGUUUAAAAAUAACCGGAAAAAGAUGCCAGAACAUCUCCGAAGAAAUGGAGGCCAUGAGGGUCAUCAACGCACCAAAGAGGCCCAGGGUGCCAGGGCCAGAAGAAAUCAACAAGAAGCUGUGCCGGCUGUCUG